rnacentral:rRNA from 1 species
UGGGGAAUUUUGGACAAUGGGCGAAAGCCUGAUCCAGCAAUGCCGCGUGUGUGAAAAAGGCCUUCGGGUUGUAAAGCACUUUUGUCCGGAAAGAAAUCCUUGGCUCUAAUACAGUCGGGGGAUGACGGUACCGGAAGAAUAAGCACCGGCUAACUACGUGCCAGCAGCCGCGGUAAUACGUAGGGUGCAAGCGUUAAUCGGAAUUACUGGGCGUAAAGCGUGCGCAGGCGGUUUGCUAAGACCGAUGUGAAAUCCCCGGGCUCAACCUGGGAACUGCAUUGGUGACUGGCAGGCUAGAGUAUGGCAGAGGGGGGUAGAAUUCCACGUGUAGCAGUGAAAUGCGUAGAGAUGUGGAGGAAUACCGAUGGCGAAGGCAGCCCCCUGGGCCAAUACUGACGCUCAUGCACGAAAGCGUGGGGAGCAAACAGGAUUAGAUACCCUGGUAGUCCACGCCCUAAACGAUGUCAACUAGUUGUUGGGGAUUCAUUUCCUUAGUAACGUAGCUAACGCGUGAAGUUGACCGCCUGGGGAGUACGGUCGCAAGAUU